rnacentral:rRNA from 1 species
CGACGCAGCGACGCCGCGUGAGGGAUGAAGGCCUUCGGGUUGUAAACCUCUUUCAGCAGGGACGAAGCGAGAGUGACGGUACCUGCAGAAGAAGCACCGGCCAACUACGUGCCAGCAGCCGCGGUAAUACGUAGGGUGCAAGCGUUGUCCGGAAUUAUUGGGCGUAAAGAGCUCGUAGGCGGUCUGUCGCGUCGGCUGUGAAAUCUCGGGGCUCAACCCCGAGCCUGCAGUCGAUACGGGCAGACUAGAGUGCUGUAGGGGAGACUGGAAUUCCUGGUGUAGCGGUGAAAUGCGCAGAUAUCAGGAGGAACACCGGUGGCGAAGGCGGGUCUCUGGGCAGUAACUGACGCUGAGGAGCGAAAGCGUGGGGAGCAAACAGGAUUAGAUACCCUGGUAGUCCACGCCGUAAACGGUGGGUGCUAGGUGUGAGCGGUAUUCCACGCCGUUCGUGCCGCAGCUAACGCAUUAAGCACCCCGCCUGGGGAGUACGGCCGCAAGGCUA